UGGAGGUUCAUUAGUUCACUGUCAAAAGUUUACUGGGACACACUGCAGUGUAAUGAAGCCCGAGCGGUGGAAAGUAACUAAGUAUAAAUACCUCUAUCACUGUAUUUCAGUACAUUUUUUAAGAAGCACAACUUGAGGGAUCAGUGAACCUAUUUGGCCCAAAACCAGUACGGCGGUCCCUUGAGAGAUCCCUGUAGAUGGCAGCGUUGCAUCGCUUUGGUUUUGAGAUCAGCACAGCUUUUGAGUAGAAGAUAAAGAUUAGCGGGUGAGUCUCGGCUUGUCUUGUUGAUUAUGAUGGAGAGAAAUGUUAUGUUAUUAAUAAUGAGGGAGAGAAAUGCCAAAGCAAUGGAAAUCGGACAAGUGUAGGAGUCUCACACUUCAACAAAAUCUGUGUGCCACGAUCGUGAAUGACUAACGCCAUUUAAAAAAAAGACAAAAACAGACACUGGCGUAAACUCCAGCCAUUUGUUGCGUUUGCAUUGCUCAGUUUUUUUUUUUUUUUUAUUUUAGCUUUAAGCUUUAAGCCCUUUCUUUUGUUGUUUUAUAGUUAGUGCCACAAAGGCAGAUUGUCAUGAGCGGGGCUGGAGCACUGCCAGGAGGGACGUGACCUGGUCGCAACUCUAGGCGGUGCCACCUCUGGCACUCGUCACAACUGUUGCACAUUUGGCCCGUUAAUUGACCAUGUGUUUAUGUUGGAGUUUUUGUCACGGGCAUUUGCCAGUUCAUUGAGUUUGUACCGGGUCACCCGGUGCGGGCUUUUGAAAUAAAAACCCACUGGACAUUAUGCCUUUGCCUCGGAGUCCUGGAUUUGGGUCCUCCUCCGCACCAAUGACACAGAUAUUAUUCACGUCAAAGUCACUCUUCGACUUGAAACUGUUUCUUUUAUCGAGAUAAAAUAAUAGUUCACAAAAUUAUAAUAUCAUGGUUAUAUUGCAUUAGAUAUGGAUAUAUUUCAUGGGCAGCAUGGCGCAGAGUAGAAAAGUAUGGUUGGAAACCACAGGGUGGCUGUUUUUUUUCUUCCUUUUCAAGGGGAUGUCGCCGCGGUGCCCUUGGGCAAGCCUCUUGACCCACGUUGCCCCAGAACUAAUCCAGUUGGAUGUUUUCGUUAUGGUCUGUGACUGCUGUGCUCCCGUCAGACUUCCUCCCCAGGGCAGCUGUGUCGACACAUGUAACAACCGCAGAGCGACUGCGGAGUGAAUGGAUAGUAAAGUCCUUUUGAGUGUGUAAAAAAAAAGCACUUUUUAUAUAUGUAUUGGCUUAUUUUUACUAUUUUUAUCUUUGGCAAAAAAAAAAAAAUUACUGCAGCUUACUCAGCAGUUGUGACCGUCAUUUUGUGCUAUGCUUGUAAUAUACUACCCCCUAGUGGACAGGUUUUGCACGCCAGGAGAUCGCCACAAUGAAUUAUGAUGCGUAAAGUGUUAAAUUGUUCACAUUCGAUUUAAAUAUGUCGUUACUCUGUUUUUAUGAAAUGUAACAAAUGCUUUUCUUUGUGUUUUAUGGUGGGGGGGGCUGAAACUAAUGAAUGAUGUCAUG